GUGGUAUGAGAUGGACCCGCGUCUGAUUAGCUAGUUGGUGGGGUAACGGCCCACCAAGGCGACGAUCAGUAGCCGACCUGAGAGGGUGACCGGCCACAUUGGGACUGAGACACGGCCCAAACUCCUACGGGAGGCAGCAGUGGGGAAUAUUGCACAAUGGGGGAAACCCUGAUGCAGCAACGCCGCGUGAGUGAAGAAGUAUUUCGGUAUGUAAAGCUCUAUCAGCAGGGAAGAAAAUGACGGUACCUGAGUAAGAAGCCCCGGCUAACUACGUGCCAGCAGCCGCGGUAAUACGUAGGGGGCAAGCGUUAUCCGGAUUUACUGGGUGUAAAGGGAGCGUAGACGGCGAUGCAAGUCUGAAGUGAAAGCCCGGGGCUCAACCCCGGGACUGCUUUGGAAACUGUAUGGCUGGAGUGCUGGAGAGGCAAGCGGAAUUCCUAGUGUAGCGGUGAAAUGCGUAGAUAUUAGGAAGAACACCAGUGGCGAAGGCGGCUUGCUGGACAGUAACUGACGUUGAGGCUCGAAAGCGUGGGGAGCAAACAGGAUUAGAUACCCUGGUAGUCCACGCUGUAAACGAUGAAUGCUAGGUGUUGGGGAGCAAAGCUUCUCGGUGCC
rnacentral:rRNA from 1 species